rnacentral:rRNA from 1 species
UACGUAGGGGGCAAGCGUUGUCCGGAAUUAUUGGGCGUAAAGGGCUCGUAGGCGGCCAACUAAGUCAGACGUGAAAUCCCUCGGCUUAACCGGGGAACUGCGUCUGAUACUGGAUGGCUUGAGUUCGGGAGAGGGAUGCGGAAUUCCAGGUGUAGCGGUGAAAUGCGUAGAUAUCUGGAGGAACACCGGUGGCGAAGGCGGCAUCCUGGACCGACACUGACACUGAGGAGCGAAAGCCAGGGGAGCAAACGGG